rnacentral:rRNA from 1 species
GAUGAACGCUGGCGGCGUGCCUAAUACAUGCAAGUCGAGCGAACAGACGAGGAGCUUGCUCCUCUGACGUUAGCGGCGGACGGGUGAGUAACACGUGGAUAACCUACCUAUAAGACUGGGAUAACUUCGGGAAACCGGAGCUAAUACCGGAUAAUAUAUUGAACCGCAUGGUUCAAUAGUGAAAGACGGUUUUGCUGUCACUUAUAGAUGGAUCCGCGCCGCAUUAGCUAGUUGGUAAGGUAACGGCUUACCAAGGCAACGAUGCGUAGCCGACCUGAGAGGGUGAUUGGCCACACUGGAACUGAGACACGGUCCAGACUCCUACGGGAGGCAGCAGUAGGGAAUCUUCCGCAAUGGGCGAAAGCCUGACGGAGCAACGCCGCGUGAGUGAUGAAGGUCUUCGGAUCGUAAAACUCUGUUAUUAGGGAAGAACAAAUGUGUAAGUAACUAUGCACGUCUUGACGGUACCUAAUCAGAAAGCCACGGCUAACUACGU